rnacentral:lncRNA from 1 species
CACAUUCAUUAAACAUAAAGAUUUAUGCCUUGAAACUCAGCUAGUCAAGAACCAACAUCCAGAAAGGGGAAUUUUUGAAAGAACAAGUGUUUUAUUUUGUUUCCACAAUGACGUCAAGAAUAUCAUCGUGGAGCUAUUUCACAAGGAUUGAAGUGGAGCCAGACUCUUCUCUUCACAGCCCCAUGUCCUGGCAGUAGCACUAAAUCCUUGAAUACUCCAGAUUUUCUGAAUGGUUUUGUCCUCUUGCAAAAUUAACCUCUGUGUAAUCUGUAAGAAACAAGUGGUCCCCUUUCUGUGAAAUGAGGAAGAGUCAGGACUGUGAUUCUUCUGCACCAGCUCAAGCAAUGUCCAUCUGGCAUGAUUUUUAACACCCCCAUCUCUGUAGUGCGCAGGGAUCACUGCACCCUGGUCUCCUCCCGCAGUGGGAGCCCUCUCCUCGGCACAGCAAACGUAACGUUACAGAUCCCUCUGCUGUCUUCACGAGGCACGUACAAGAGGUGUCGAUAUCACAUCAGACCAAAAACAGUGGGGCGUCCAGGUGUUGAUCACAGUUUGAGAUUGCUGUGAUAUCAAACUCGCUGAUGUUGUUGUACCUCAAAAAGCCCGAGGGAGGUUUGACCUGAGCCCCAGGAGGAAAUGCAGCAGAUGUGGUGGGACAAAAGGAGUGACCAGCCCUGCGUGUGAGCUCGGUGCUACGUCUCCACUGAGGGAAGAUGGGCCUGUGUAUGAGGCUGCACCCUCCAGGACAGGGAGCAGGC